GCCAUAAAGAGGGGCUGGAUUUCCCAGAGGCCCCGGAGCCGCUCCUGGUGUGGGGGAAGUUGGGGAGAUUUGGCCUCCUGCCCGGCUGGCUUCCUGAUGUGAGCGUUUCAGCGCUGCCUUUGCUUUGUCCAGUGUCAAACUUACUUUAAGUCUUCUCCGUCCCCGUUUCUGUUGCCUGUUCUUCCUCACGUUUCUUUCCUGCCUUGCAGUUCCUCGGUCAGACACUGACCAGUGAAACAGGAGCGUUGGGAACGGAGUAAAUAAAGGGUGGGGGAUGAAGAGCUGCUCUUGGUACCUGGGAAGUUUGUUGGUGGAAUUGGCUAAUCAUGUAAUGUGUGGAAUGUUUUUAGUGGCUCCUGGGAAAAAAAAAAAAAAAACACCAAAAAACCAAGAGGGAGAGGUCUUACUUUAUGAGGAGGUGUUGGGUUUUUUAUUUCCUCAGUCUGCCCAGUAGAAGCUAUUCAACAAUAUUCUGUUAUUUCACCCCCACAUAUCUUGCUGUGGAGCCUGGUCAAAUACGUGUCCCUGGCAGAGCACUCCUGUGGAAUAUCCUCUGAGCAGCCCCUCUGGGGUCUGCACAGCUACUCCUCAGAUAUCAGAGGGACUGGGACAGCUGGGUUUAGCUUCUGAGCCGUGGCCAAUUCAGCAGCAGACAUGCAGAGCUGGUGUGGCACUGGAAAGAGCUGACCUUUGGGGUUCCGCCCAGCCCAGCCCAGCCUGUGGUUCUGUGCUGGUGGUGAGUACCCUGUGUGCAGAGGUGUGUGUGAGCCACAAGCACAGUCAGUUGGGAGCCAUGCAGCCAGCCACAAGCACAGUCAGUUGGGAGAUGCCAGUGUAGCACUAAGAGUAUGAUCACAAGCACAGGCUGGCUUUCCGAAAUUCCUGAGGUGCUUACCUGGUAUAGCUGAGCGCUGGAGUCUGACCCAGUAGGUGUUCCUGUGGGGAGGAGCUAGGCAGAGCCCUCUGACAGUGCCAGGAUACAGAGAUGGAGUCUCCUCUGACCUCCCUUACCACUAAAGCUGUAUUUAUAUUGUUUUCAGCGAGUGGCAGGAGAAAGUGAAGUUAUGGCUGACAUAAUUUCCCAUUUAAGUGGAGCUUGAUUUUAGUCAUGAGCAUGUAUGGGGGGUAUUGACACAAAGCUGGGGCACGGCUUGGGUCAUUCCUUUGGCUUAGUUCCUGUUACCUGCAUUGUUCCUGCCAGAGCAUGACCACGACAGCUCUGUGCCACUCCAUCCUUUGUUUCCUAUCUGCAUUGAUUUCAGCAGGGCGAGACCAACUCGCUCCCUGCUGCUGCCUGCUUUGUUCCUGCUCCCAGAGCAGCACGCCGCGCUCCCGCAGGGAUCCUGCUCCUACGGGUGCAGGCAGCUUGUCCCCGCUGAGCACUGCCAGCACACAGACUCCUUCUUGCUCAGCUUGCUUUUGCAGUGUUCUCCCAGUGAAGGCAGCCUCAAAUGAAAAAGGAAACCAGAACCACAACGUUUUCUGGAAACUUGAAAGUAAAUCUCUUUGUAGCUGUGUGUGCAGCUGACUGUGCACUCUGCUCCCUGCGCAGCAGAUUGGGGCAGGACUGAAAUGAGCGGCUUUUUGGCUCAUUGUAACCCACAAAAAGAAGUAUUGCUUGUAGUGCAGCAGAUGUACAGGAUGUGUUUCUGAGGAGGUAGCGCUGGUUUAAGGGAUACACUGGGCCUUUUGGAUGAGGCAUGGAAAUGGGCCUUGGCCUGCUGGAAGCAUUCCAAGCCCUGUUCCAAUUUUCAUUCCCAAUCCAGUUCAGGAAAUGAUAUUGUUUAUUCAUUAUGUCUUUGUCUUCUAAACACACAAAUAUUACUCUAUACCCAUUGACAAAUAAAUAUUGGCAGUGAUUGGUAUAAUUCACCAUGUUACUGGGUGUUGUAGUACAUACUUGUGUGCUAGACUAUUUCAAUACCACAUCUGGAAUGUUUUAAAUACACUUGUGGUGCUCUGCGUGUUGCUGUUCUGACACAGAUGGGGAUAUCACUAAGAUAUUGAAACAGGGAAUUCUAUAGGCUGUUGGCUUUUGGUCUGUUUUCUCAGUCUCAGCACAUGUGACUUACAAGAAUGAAAAUUAACCAAUUCUGCCUCUUGCAAAUUUAAGAUGCCAGUGUUGGAGAGUGUUAGGAAAAUCCUGAACAUUGAAGGUUAGAAUAAGUCAUGAUGAGAGCUUGCUUUGGGGGUCUCAGAUCCUGCAAUCAGUAUUCCCAAGGGAGUACCAGUUUGUUUGGUUCUGCUGAGAAUGCUAUGCUCCCAGUUUUUGUGUGUUUGAGCAGAAGGAAUUAACUUGGAACAUGGAGAGCAUGGAGAGAGCACAUACCAGCUGCAGCUGUGCACUUGCUCAGCUUUAUAUCCAGGAUACAGGAGAUUUUCUUUCCAGCCUGCAGAGCGAGAUGCACGCACAGUGUCUGAGAGAAUCAGAGUCACAGAAUAUCCUGGGUUGGAAGGGACCCACAAGGAUCAUUGAGCUGAACUCCUAUUCCUGCACAGGACACCCUAAUAAUUCCAGCAUGUGCCUGAAAACAUUGCCCAAAAGCUUCUGGAACUCUGGCAGGCUUGGAACUGUUACCUGCCCUGGGGAGCCUGACCCAUCAUCCCUCAUCUGGGUGAGGAGGCUUUUCCUGAUGUCCAGCAUAAACUUCACUG
ensembl:lncRNA